AGAUAGAUAGAUAGAUAGAUAGAUAGAUAGAUAGAUAGAUAGAUAGAUAGACUGUGUUCUGACUGGGCUUCAAUGAUGGUUGUGUAAAUGUGUACUGGCUUCAUCCCUGUCAUUCCUGGUCGUGACUCUGAUAGCAAGAAGCUGGACUCAGGACACCUCCACAAAGUACCAUAACCUGCAGGGUGAAGACUGCACGCACACAAAUGUGUCAGGCGUCUCAGGCAAUGAACCGCUCUGGCUUACAGGAUGGCCACAGGUCAGAGGGAAACUGUGCCGAGGAAAAUGACUCUGGAGUCUUUCUGGCCCUGAGCCUGGACAGAUUAGAGUCCCACACCUGAAUAGCCUGACCACCGCCGACAUCACUCGUGAGCCUAAGGUGGCGAGAGCAGAGCCCCGCUGACCAGCUCGGUGAGAGGAGAGCGGAGCCCAUCUGCCGAUGUUGAUGGGGCUGGAUGUGACACAGCCUGCUGGGGUGGGUGUGGGCCAAGAGUGGCCAACAGCAGGUGGCCCCGCACAUGGCGUGGUGAGUCCAACCGAGUGAUGUGGGGCAGACAGGCGAGCAGAAGAUGCCCGGCAUGGACACCCGGGGUACAGCUGCUGCCCAUAGCUGGUCUGGACACACCUGCCCAGCCUAAGGGCUCAGGCUGCUGUGAGUGGAAACCUUUGUUCAGAGGAUGACUUUACAAUGUGGUUCCAUAAACAGUGGCAGGGCAUUAGGUGGGGACAGAGCCACACACUCUUCCCCUUGUGUGCUCUGCUGAGGGGGAGGAGGGGAGCAGACUGACCUCCAGGCUCCCUUCAGACUUCCCUUCCCUUCUCUUCCUCUUUCCUCCCGUGUGUGUGUGUGUGUGUGUGUGUGUGUGUGUGUGUGUGUGUGCAUUGCUUACCACAGCACACAUGUGGAGAUCAGAAGGCAAUUCUCCUAUCCUGGAUAUUAACUAGUAACCAAGAUUCCUCCAAGGAUCAUUUCACAAGACCGUGGAUUUGAUUCCCGACACCACAUACACACACAUGCACGUACACACUUUCCUAUGUGUGAAUAUAGAUACACAUGUGCCACAGCACACAUGUGGUGGUCAGAGGACAAUCUCAAGUUGUUAGAGAUAAAGUUUUUUGUUGUUGGUGGUGUUGUUUGCUGCUUUCCCAAGGCUAAUUGAUUUGUAAACUUCUGGGAAUUCUCCUGUCUCCAUCCAGGAGUGCUGAAAUUAUAUGCAUGUAAUUAACCAUACCCAACUUUAUCUGGAUUAUGAAGAUCUGAAGCCCAGGUCUUUAUCUAGUGCAGCAAAUGCUUUAAACCAUCUCCCCUGAGCAGACAGUGGAUUUGGAAUCAGCCUGAACACGGUUUGAGCUCUGAAGAACAUGGUCCGAGCUCUGAAGUCUCUAAAGUAUGAGGAGGCCCCAGCCUGCUUAACCCCCCUGUAAAACAGCACACUCUAAGGAUUAGGACCAGAACUCUAUAGUGAGUGCCUCACAGAGGGCCUGGGUCAGUGUAAGUACUCAUUAGGUGGCAGUUGCUCACCAAAUGGUCGUUCUGCUCCAGUGGAGAGCAGCCUUAUCUCCAGCUGGCCUCACACACACACACACACACACACACACACACACACACACACACGUACGCACUUGCACCCGCACCCACAUACAACAGUAAUAACCCUUAGUGCCUUGGCAUAUGCUCCGUCUCCCGAGCAAAGCCUUCCUUCUUCCCUGUGACAGGCCGUUCCUGUGUCUAACGGUCCAUUCUCCCCUUCUGUUCUCUAUGUAGGCUCCCCACUUGCCUCUAGUUAUUAAUUUAUUUCUAAAAUGAAAUCUUGCUAGGUUAUGCAGGUUGGCCUCAAACUUCUGGACCCAAGCAAUUCUUCUACCUCAGCUUCCAGAGUAGUUGGGAUUUUGAUGGGGAGGGGAGGAGUUUGCAACCGGCUCCCACUAGACUUAAAUGAUGCCCUGGCUGUGCGGGAGCUGUGUGUGUAGAUCCCUUUUGGAAUCCAGCAUUGUGUCCUGAGUUUUGGAGCAGCACUAUAUUCGGGGCCUAGUGCCACAGGGUGUAAAUUCAGAUGGCAAUAAGCCGAUUUACUCUAUUUAUUCUUUAUUUUAUUUUUUAGAGUUGGGAUAUCAGUCUAUAUCUGAUAUAGACUAUCUAACUGUCUUCAAACUCAUGCCUGCCUUAGCCUCCCAAGUGUUGGUAUCACAGGCAUAAAUCACCAAGGCUAGCUUCAAAAUGAACUUAAAUUCCAGCUCAAUUCCUACCCAUCUAGACGGUGGAUGUCAAGUGCCUCGGCAUACUUGGCUCUGCUUCCUGAGCUGUAACAAGGAUGCCAUAAUAGCGAGAGAGGGUCUUCUGAGAUUAGCUUGGGAGCAUUUGAAAACAUGAAACGCGGUAGCCCCUUCACGAGCAUUAGGUACGAUCAGUUUUACUAAUAGCUUCGUUAAAGAUCGAUGCAGAGCCGUUAAAGACAGAGCCGGGAGGGCAUGGAAGGCAACCCUGGUGAGGCAGGGGACAACCCCUGUGACUCACAGGGACUUUCCACCACGUUCAAAGCUCCGGUUGUUGCCUGGGGCAAGUUCUGCUUUCCAAGGCCAUGGGCUGGGUGCUGUCUAGGGCCCUCUGGGGAGGGACUUUAGAUUUACACACAGGUGAGAAAUAGAACCUCCCUUGCUCUGAGGAGGAAGCCCUGAGCCGUGUCACUGUCUUUCAGAUAAAGUUAAUUUCUUUCUUUUUAAAAUUAUGUGUGAUUAAAAAAACAAAACAAAAAAAACAAACAAAAACAAAACCCAACUCACUUGGCUUCUUUUCUUCUCGUGUGUCUGCCUGUACCCGGUCACCCCAUAAACAGCCUCUGUGGUGUGAGAUCUCAUAACUCUGCGAAAUUCUUCUAUGAUGCAGCCCUAAGUCAGCCUGACUUCCUGGAAGCGUCAUGAGCCUGCUGGAGCAGACAUGGACCAAGAGAGCCCAGCAGCUGGUGGCUCCCCAUGUGUCUUCUGGCAUCAUUUCAUCCUACGUGUGGAUCCUUAGCCAACCUGGCCUUGCUUUUCCUCCCUCUCCAGAGCCUGCCUUCCAUCAAAGCUCUAGGUUCAGGUUUGAAAGUUACUGGGAACUGACAGGGAAACUGGCCCUAGGGGCUGAGGUAGCGCUCAGGGGCGGGCGCUGGGUUAGCUUUUGCAAGCUGGUGGUGUGGUCUUAAAUAUCGCCUUUCGUUUUAGGAGGCCCAGAGGCUUGGCAUAAUAAAGUUCAGUGUUCUGUGGAUUUCUCGUUCUCGUCCUUCCUUCUUAUUUUGUCCUAUCAUUGAACUGGUCAGGACGGUUUCGUUUUUUGCUGGGCCAUGCUGCUGGGUCAAAGUGUGCCUCUAUUAUUAACCUGUCUAACAGCUGAGAACAGUGAAGUACCCAGACGCUACAGGCCCACCCAGGAUCACGUGACAGCGGGCUGGCUGGGACUCACACUUCCGAUGGUGGUGCCACCUGACUCCCGUGGCUCAGGCGGAGCUC